rnacentral:lncRNA from 1 species
GACCAGCUAAUAUCUUCUGCCUUGGAAUCAACAUAUGGUAUUUAUUCUAGGAUGGGAAGUAAGAGAAAGAAAGAAAGAAAGAAAGAAAGAAAGAAAGAAAGAAAGAAAGAAAGAAAGAAAGAAAGAAAGAAAGAAAGAAAGAAAGAAAGAAAGAAAGAAAGAAAGAAAGAAAGAAAGAAAGAAAGAAAGAGAGAGAGAGAGAGAGAGAGAGAGGGAGGGAAGGAAGGAGGGGGGAG